UACGUAGGGUGCAAGCGUUAAUCGGAUUUACUGGGCGUAAAGCGUGCGCAGGCGGCUAUGCAAGACAGAUGUGAAAUCCCCGGGCUCAACCUGGGAACUGCAUUUGUGACUGCAUAGCUAGAGUACGGUAGAGGGGGAUGGAAUUCCGCGUGUAGCAGUGAAAUGCGUAGAUAUGCGGAGGAACACCGAUGGCGAAGGCAAUCCCCUGGACCUGUACUGACGCUCAUGCACGAAAGCGUGGGGAGCAAACAGG
rnacentral:rRNA from 1 species